CCGCCACCCCGGGACGGGACCCGCUUAGGGCCCGCGGGGGGCUGAGGUUUUGUGGUGUGGCUCCCCAAAGCCGAAGCUGAGCGGAGGCUGAAGGGGCUGUAACGCGAAAUCAGUUUGCUGUAAUGUCAGAGAUAGAAAUCAGCGAGAAGCCGCGCAGGAGCGUGUUAUCCCGGCAGUAGAUACGAGCCCAUUCUGGAUCAUCUUAGAGGGCCUGUUUUCUCCAGUUCUGCAAAGACGUCAGUACUGCUGGAUUCCUGAGCCCAUUCAAAGAGCCUCUGAGAUAAAGGAGGUGUAUGAAUUUUGCCAGGAAAAACAAACUGGCUAACAAAAGAAGAGAGGAACACAACACCAAACACCAAACGACCAUCCACUGAGACAUCUGAACAGCUACAGACCACUCCUGCCAGCACAGAGCCCAGGUGGGGACAGUGCUUGACUUUCUGCCCUGCGCUGAGUACACACAGCGACAUGCACUGGGAUCACCUACACAGGGCCAGAGGGAGAAAGAGGAGCACCUCAGAGGAGAUACAAGGCCAAGAAAUUCCCCAUGCUAAGCUGCCUGAGGGGUGCAUUAAGCACAGGAGGCUAACCCAGCAUUGCAACACCAACCUGCAUCCACCUCUGAAUUCGUAAGAUGAAGAUCCAGGACCCUUCCUGAGGUUUCUUCCAGCUGCUCUUUGAAAAGGCUGAGAAAGACUUGCUGUUUCUUGUUUUAGCACACUCAGGUUAGUGCUGCUUUCCACUACCUACAUUUUAUACAGGAGCCUGUUAAAGCAAUUCCCCCAGGAAAAUGGGGAGAUUUAGGUCCUGCACCCUAAACUGAUGCUAAGAGAUGCCUCAGCCCCGCUGCCCUGAUGAGUGUUUAACCUUGCCUGUGGGGGCUGGUUCCUGCUGCAGGAAUGUGGGAUGUCUUCCUGUCCCCAGGGACAUAAUCAGUGCUUAGUUUUACCCAAACUAGGUACAAAGCAAAACUAUGCCCCUGUGCAACCCUGAUGCUUUGAUUCUGGUUGUUAGCUCUGUCGUUAUGUUUUGGAGCAUGGAUGUCUGUGGUCUGACCUCUUUACCAGUGGAGCUGUGAAAGCAGGAAUGCUGGCCCUCAGUUGCCAAAUGGUCUUUCAUGAAGCAGUUUCAUCCAUUUACUAUUACCUGCAGCCCUCUGAAUGGUGGUUGCUUCAUGACACACUGUUGGGUUCUUGCAGUUUGUUCAUCAAUUCUUGCUCAUUAGACCCACUGAUUCUUCAGAACAUGCAUUUUUGAAAUGAAACUCCUAUUGUCCCGAGCAGAUUUGUUUCUGCUUUGUGCCUGCUCCCUUUUUGUUUUAAUUCUCUCAGCAAGUUCCUUCUUUCCAGCCUGGAUGAUUUCCCCUCUGAUCGAUUGUGAUCUGAAAAUAGUCCAUUGUGUAACCUAAAAGUCCCAUUAUUAACGAAUAUUUGGUAAAUGUGGUACGGUCUGGCUGAUUGCAAUAUUCUUUGCUGGCAUAAAUUGGAUAUGAGCUGGAGUAAAAUCUAUUUACAACAAUGGAGAACUUUGCUUUCUGCACUAACAUUUCACAAGUUUAUAAGGUUAUGUGGUCACCCUCAAUGAGACCUUCUGGUUAAAAAAAAAAAAAAAAAAGUGUCGUUGAAAUACAAAUACAGCUCGUAGAUUUAGACAUAGAUUUAGAUAAUUAGAUACCUGCAAGUUAGACUCUGACACAAUUCUUUUGAUAUCAAAAGCAGUUGAAACAGAUUCCAUGGAGGCAAAGUAUCAACAUCUGUAGCAGCAGCAGAAGUAGCUGCCAGCCAGGCAUUUGUGCAAAGAUGGUGAUCAGACGUAUGGCAGCGUUUCCAUAAUGGGUUUGACAUUGUUUAUGUCAAAUUAGGAGUUCCUAGUCUAGGACACAGCUGCACAGGAUCCUUGGGGAUUUUUAUGAAAGAGGAUAGUCCUCCAGAGAAAAAUAUAUAUAAAAUAAAAUAAAAUAAAAUAAAAUAAAAUAAAAUAAAAUAAAAUAAAAUAAAAUAAAAUAAAAUAAAAUAAAAUAAAAUAAAAUAAAAUAAAAUAAAAUAAAAUAAAAUAAAAUAAAAUAAAUAAAAAACACAGUGCUAAAGCCACCAUCUCUAUCAUUAUCUGGUGCCCUCUUUGGAGACAUGAGCAGAGAUUAUCACAUCUAACCUCAGGCAAUUUCUUUAGAAAUAUGUGGUGUGCAGUAGUCUUCUAAAGCAGCAAAUAAAGUUACUGCCUCUAUGUACUAUAAUGAAAAUUCAAUUUUGUAUUACCUACUUCUAAUUUGUCCCUAACCUUUGCCUUCACCUUUUUUGCCUUGGCUGUAAAUACUGCUGCUAUAUUUCUUGCUUAGUGUGUGUCAUCUCCCUCUGCUUGUUCUUAAUGCUUGUUCUAUGAAUUUAGUGUUUUCUCAUUGAAAAAUCUCGACUGUGAGCAUUAAAAAGCAGUGUAAAUCCCUCAGUUCUGUUCUUCACAUACUGUUUUGUUUCAGUAUUGAUAUUCACUGAAGAACUUUUGCUUGUGGUCAUAAUCAUUUCUAAAUCAAGGCCAUGUGUAUUUACUGCAAUGUAAACAUAAUUGACAAACACUCAUUAUCUUUAAAUUAUGACCCACUUGCUAAUUUGCACUGUACUGAAUGCUGGUAAAAUGCCCCCGUUGUUACACGGGUAUGUUUGCCUUGCCAUAAAACAUACUUGGAAGUGUUUCAAUUAAAAACAAAGUGAUUUGAUUAGCCUAUGGGGCAAUUUUCAAAAGCAUCUGGCACUCCUAAUAUUCAUUAGACUCAUUGACUCUUCCCAUGUGUUGCUGAAGACUUGGAAGAAGUCCCCGUGAUACAGAAAGCCUUAGUGGCUGAUCUGGAAGAAGAACAUGGGCAAUGCCACAGAUGCCAACAGAGUUCUGCUUUUUUACACCCAAAUCUUUUUCUGUAAUAGCAGGUAGAUGUAUACCAAAUGUCAAGUAACAAAAGCCCAGUUUUGUUGCCUCCACCAGUUCAUGGAGACUUGAUUUAUCAGUAAAACUGAAGAAAACAGCCUGGUAUACUUGAGCAGUUCAUGCCUUCCCACCUGUGUAGCCUGAUUCAAAGGCCACAGAAGGGAGUGACUGUCCCAUUUAUUUCUUUGAAGGGGUUGUGGCAACUAUGAACAAGCCAGGAAAAAUAUUAAAGAACAUUCAAAGAGAUUCAAGAGGACCAUGGGGAUUUCCAACUUGAUAUCUUAGUGACUAAUGAGGAAACAAACAAUUGGGACAUUAAUUAUUUCAUAAUCUUCAAACUUAACUUCAGAUGCUGAAUGUGUGCUAAAGUAAGUUAAAGAAUUUGUGUAGCAUAUGUAGCAAACUUGCUUGUUUGCCUUUGGGGAAAUUGGGAAAAGCCUUUCUAAAUACCCACAUCUUUAAUUCUUCUUACCCAGUUGUUUGUUGAACCUUUCUGUGAGAGGUUGGUUGGAAUUGGGGCUCUUUGCACUAAUGGCUUAGAGAGGAAGUAGUACAAAAACAAUUUGAUAAGGAAAAAGUUCACAUGUAAUACGCUUAGUUGCAUUAAUACCAUUUUUUUUUCUUUUAAAUAACUAUCCAUGAAGUUCUGUGACUUUUCUGCCACCAAACGGAGCAUAAAAAUGAGCCAAAAGGAUGGACGCUUUCAAAAAGUGCCUUUGGGAAGAGACUGAGCUUAUAGAACAUGCAGCAAAACAGGACUCUGCCUUUGUGGCUCAGGGCACUUUUGACUCAAGGCAAGUAGAGAAGCAUACUUUUAAAAAGGAGGAAGAUGGGGAAGAAUAAAUACAUUACUGAGAAUUUUUUGGUUUCACUUAAAAUGAAUUUACAUAUAAACAGACGAGCAGUAUGUAUUUCUGUAUGUAUUUCAUGUAUUUUGCAGCUGAUGACUUGAUAAACUAAAUUAAAACUUAGCUCCUGGUGCUGUGUUCACAUAAUUCGAUGUAAAUAAAACUGCAGCUCUCUGUCUAAGCUGUUGCACAUCAUCCACCAUCCAUCAUAAUCUAGGAGGUCUCAGAAAUGACCAUUAUGCUCCUAUCACCUCUCCUCUUACUGAGAAGAGACAAGUUUGAAUCCUUUAUCCUCACCAGAGCACAGCUUGCCAGCCUGCAAGUCUGAGCAAAGGGAGAGUGGCCACACUCAGGAAACACUUGCUCUUUUACCACUUAAACAUAGUGUCCAGUUUGCCUCUACUGAUGAUUUUGUCCUCAUGGAUCCUCCAUCAGUGGGCUGACAGUUUCAUUGCUCCACUAGAAAGCAGUUUUCAAGGGAAACUAUGACUGCAGACAGAGAAACGGGUAAUGGGUAAUGAAGACUAUCUCUAAUCUGUCUUUCUAACUCAGGAAAGGCUGCAUGUACAAUGGAAAUCCUGUGCAGAGAAAUGCACAAGGAGAAUUGUUGGUUGCAUUUUUUUGCUCAAACUAAAUCAUUUCCAAAAUUACAGUAAAUGGACCUGAAGUUACAAAAGCAGAUAGCAGAUGUGCAGUGAGGAGCAGUGGUUUGUGGUUUCUUGCUUUUUGUUCUUCCAAACCCAAAACAAGCACACUGGAUUUUCAGGAGCAGUUUGUAAUCUGGUAGAUCACAGGGCUGCAGUCCAGCCUAAGGUAAGAAAAGGAGCAGUGUACAUGGAUAAACACUGUGAUUCGCCCAUUUUUCUAACAUCUUUGAAGUUUCAUAUUUUCCAUUUCGCAAAAUUUUUAAUGGCACAAAUCCAAACAGAAUAGAGAGCCCUUUUACAUUUUCUUUGCAUUUUUGAAGUGCUCAGGUUUGAUCCAGGAAGAAAAUCAUACACAGGUGAGAUGAACUUUGCUUAUCUAUUAACACCACACAUGCUUAGCUGCAGUUCAAACCUUAUAACUUUCAUUAAGUGACUGUCUCUUGUUGGACAUGUGUUCAAAUGCCUUCAUAGGAUCCCAGAGUCAAUGUUGAAACUGCUGACUAAAACUAGUGUAACAAUAAACUGAGGUGUGUCUUUGGUACAAUAAACAGAUUAAUCUGGCUAAAUCUUUCAUUAACAUGGAAAGAGUUUAGGAUAGUAACAUAAUUUAUAUUUUUUUGCUUUGUUUAAACAGCUGUAUACUGUUAGCAAAUUAUAAAGAAUACUUUUUGUACUGAGGUUUAAUUUUGGCAUGCUAGAUAUCCUUUCUUAAAGUAAAAUAAAUAAAUCAAUUUUAAAAAAUCACCUUACAUAAUCUUAAUAAUUAUUAAUAUAUCUUUAAAAGGUUUGACCACUUGAAACUACAGCUCAGUCAUCUGCUGUAGACGCUCAAAGGAUUAUUGACAGUAGUAGAAAUUGAAGAUCUUCCCUUGUCAGCUCCACCUCAGCUAAAAGAAGGCGAAUCAGGGAGAAUGAAUUUGCUUGUUCAUGCUGUAUUUGUUACCAGGAUUGUAGACAAUGGAGCAUGAACAAAAAAAAAUAUUCCAAAAGGAGCUAUGAUUCAGAGUUGAAUUGUUUGGAUAACAU